AAGUCGUAACAAGGUUUCCGUAGGUGAACCUGCGGAAGGAUCAUUAAAAAAAUCUUUAAUAUGGAGAACCGCAAGGUUCUCUAACUAUUUUGUGAAAUGUGUAAUAGUACUGUGUGUGGUUUGUGCGUAUAUGUGCUGGUCUGUUUGAGGGUGUUAAACUCUUUUACGCGACCACACAAAUACAUUGCAUAGCUCUCUCGCUGUACUAUUUAUUUUAAUACAUGUUAUAUAUUGAUGAAGUAUGUAAAUAUAGUAUUAAAGGUGGUGUAAUAACCCUUUUAAUAUGAUAUAAUAUAUAUACAACUUUCAACAGUGGAUCUCUCGGCUCUU
rnacentral:misc_RNA from 1 species